rnacentral:misc_RNA from 1 species
UUUCACCUGUUUGUUUCACUGCUGAAUUUAUUGAUAGCUUACUUUGUUCUGUCUAAAACUACUGACAUGACUCCUGGCGCUAGUAGCGGCACAGUGAGAACUUUCAAGCAGAGGAAGUCAUUCGCCACCAGGAGGCUAGAAGUAGCGGACAUUAAAGAGAAAUUUCCUAAUAAAAUACCGGUGAUCGUAGAGCGGUACCACAAAGAAUCGAAUCUUCCUGUUUUAGAUAAAACCAAAUUUUUAGUUCCACUAGAGCUUACAAUGUCACAGCUCGUAACAAUUAUCAGGAACCGACUCAGCAUAGGCGCAAAUCAAGCCUUCUACCUUAUCAUCGACAAUAAGAGCAUGGCGAGUAUGUCUAGAACGCUGUCGGAAAUCUACAUAGAAAAUAAAGACGAAGACGGUUUCCUGUACGUCACAUACGCCUCACAAGAAAUGUUCGGCUGUGACUGCUCGUCUCUCACCUUGUAGCAAAACGUUCCUCGAAGGAGACGUUUGUAAAUAGGUAUGAAAGUCACUUGGUUUUCUGGUCGGCCAAGUCUUUUUUCUGGAAUAUGGAGGACAUUAAAACCACGAACGUGAGUGAUUGAGAAAACUGAAAUGGCUCAACGCCAACCUUUGGUGACAGUAAUACUGUAUUCCAUACUAUGAACAUCAGUGUCAAACAACUAUACAUAGAAAAUAUAUUGAAAAAGUUUGUGAUUAUCUUAUUUUAUAACUUAAUAUUAAAGUGUCUGUUUUACAAUUGUGCCUGUUUCCAGUUAUUCUCCAUGCAAUAAAGUUUGUUUGCGUUUACUUAUAUAAUUGAAGCUAGGCUUAAAAGGUAAAUACCACACAAUUAUUCAAUUAACAAUUUACUCCAGAAAGUUUGGGACAUUAAGAUGCAAAGAAUAAUUUUAAAUGUUAAUCGUGCUUAUGCAUUAACAAAUAUUUCUAAUCAUUAAAAAAAUAACUGUUUUGUUGUAACUUUGUUUGUCAGAGAUAGAUGAUUAUAAUAAGUACUUACAAGCUCUUUUGGUUCAUGUAUAUUAACUUUACUCAUUCUUAUUCAUGUGUUAUGCGAGUUACUAAGAUGCUGUCUGAAGUAAAGAAGUUUUAACACGACGUUUGAAAGACUAAUAAUAUCCAGAAUUGAAAAGCAUUUUUUUUUUGACGUAAACUUUAUACGCCUUUUUCCUUCUUUUAUAGUUGCUUUGUAUUUAAUAGAAAAUGUCCGCAAAGACAAACUGUGAGUUUGAUAAUGAUGAGAAUACUUCUGUUGUAUUCAUUGAUGCCAUAAUUCGUAAUUCAAAGAUCUAAUCAUUUUGCAAUAAGUUGUUUUUCUGCAUAUCGCUUGUAAUGAUUGAGACAGAAUUACGUAUUUGAUCGCUGUGAUAUUUCCUUAAUAAUUGAAUAAAGGGCCAACAUUCAGUCUUG